UGUUGUAGCGAUGAUGAUAGAACUUGCAUCCCAGCUCACUCUGAGACCUUAAUUUGUUUAAGGUUAUGGAUUACAAUUAGUUCAUAUGUUAUAUCUGAGCUUUUA